rnacentral:rRNA from 1 species
GAUCAUGGCUCAGGACGAACGCUGGUGGCGUGCUUAACACAUGCAAGUCGAACGGAGAACUUUCUUCGGAAUGUUCUUAGUGGCGAACGGGUGAGUAACGCGUAGGCAACCUGCCCUCUGGUUGGGGACAACAUUCCGAAAGGGAUGCUAAUACCGAAUGAGAUCCUCUUUCCGCAUGGAGAGAGGAUGAAAGAUGGCCUCUACUUGUAAGCUAUCGCCAGAAGAUGGGCCUGCGU